GAUCUGGUAGCUUGAGUGGUAGAGUUCUCGACGCGCAAUAUCGGAGUGAUUCAGGUUCGAUUCCUGGCUUGGUCC
rnacentral:tRNA from 1 species